rnacentral:rRNA from 1 species
ACGCACGCUGGCGGCGUGCUUAACACAUGCAAGUCGAACGGAAAGGCCCUGCUUUUGUGGGGUGCUCGAGUGGCGAACGGGUGAGUAACACGUGAGUAACCUGCCCUUGACUUUGGGAUAACUUCAGGAAACUGGGGCUAAUACCGGAUAGGAGCUCCUGCUGCAUGGUGGGGGUUGGAAAGUUUCGGCGGUUGGGGAUGGACUCGCGGCUUAUCAGCUUGUUGGUGGGGUAGUGGCUUACCAAGGCUUUGACGGGUAGCCGGCCUGAGAGGGUGACCGGCCAACAUGGGGCUGAGAUGCCGCCCCGACCCCCUGGGGAGGCAGCAGGGGGGAAUUAUGCACAAUGGGCGGAAGGCCUAAGCCGCCACCCCCCGGGCGGGAUGACGGGCUUCGGGUUGUAAACCAGUUUCCGCCGGGAAGGAGGGUGAGUGGAGGUAAGGGGUAAAAGAGCCCCGGGUAACUACGGU